rnacentral:rRNA from 1 species
UGGGGAAUUUUGGACAAUGGGCGAAAGCCUGAUCCAGCAAUGCCGCGUGUGUGAAGAAGGCCUUCGGGUUGUAAAGCACUUUUGUCCGGAAAGAAAUCCUUGGCUCUAAUACAGUCGGGGGAUGACGGUACCGGAAGAAUAAGCACCGGCUAACUACGUGCCAGCAGCCGCGGUAAUACGUAGGGUGCAAGCGUUAAUCAGAAUUACUGGGCGUAAAGCGUGCGCAGGCGGUUUGCUAAGACCGAUGUGAAAUCCCCGGGCUCAACCUGGGAACUGCAUUGGUGACUGGCAGGCUAGAGUAUGGCAGAGGGGGGUAGAAUUCCACGUGCAGCAGUGAAAUGCGUAGAGAUGUGGAGGAAUACCGAUGGCGAAGGCAGCCCCCUGGGCCAAUACUGACGCUCAUGCACGAAAGCGUGGGGAGCAAACAGGAUUAGAUACCCUGGUAGUCCACGCCCUAAACGAUGUCAACUAGUUGUUGGGGAUUCAUUUCCUUAGUAACGUAGCUAACGCGUGAAGUUGACCGCCUGGGGAGUACGGUCGCAAGAUUAAAACUUAAAUGAAUU